rnacentral:rRNA from 1 species
UGUCCGGAUUUACUGGGUGUAAAGGGUGCGUAGGCGGCUUUGCAAGUCAGAUGUGAAAUCUAUGGGCUCAACCCAUAAACUGCAUUUGAAACUGUAGAGCUUGAGUGAAGUAGAGGCAGGCGGAAUUCCCCGUGUAGCGGUGAAAUGCGUAGAGAUGGGGAGGAACACCAGUGGCGAAGGCGGCCUGCUGGGCUUUAACUGACGCUGAGGCACGAAAGCGUGGGUAGCAAACAGGAUUAGAUACCCUGGUAGUCCACGCUGUAAACGAUGAUUACUAGGUGUGGGGG